rnacentral:lncRNA from 10 species
CUAGUUUCCCUAUCAGCUCCCCCUUUUGCCUUGAAAAUGGAAAAGAAAGCAAGUCCUUUACCCUAAAAAGAAGCAAGUCCUUUAAGCCAAGACACCAAACCAUUUUUCUUCUGGGAAAGCAGUCUUCAUAAAACCACAGAUUCUUUAUAUUAAAAACUAGCAAAGCGGGGAAACGAAGUAGCCACAGGGUGGCAGAAUAGGAGAGAUUUUAUUUUCCUGCAGGAUAAUUGAUGAGGAAACGUGUGGAAUGGUACUGUCUUAGGAAGUCGCCUGUUGUGAUGUAUUGAUAACUUAGUAUAUAAAAAAUUGAAGGAAAGAGGGAGGCAGGUCAAAUGCUGCUGAAAUGUCAAGUAAAAUAAGGACCGAAAAUAAGUCCAUCUGAUUUCGUAUCCUGGAGAUAACAGGUAGCCUUAGAAAGACCUGUACCUAUGGGGUGCAGAGGCUGCAGCCUCGCCAAGAUCUCUGCAAUUGUCUGUGCUUUUAUCUGUUCCUGCUCAUCUACAGAUGAGAGGGGAAGAAUUCAUAACUCCAUUUUCUAUCAGCAGCUUGGGAUGCAGUUUGAAGCUGGUUGAGGGUAGCAAAGAGGAAGACAGACUGAUUUGAUGCUUGGCUGCUGGGACAAGAGGCUGCAAGUGGAGCAAGGCGCAGGAUCGCCCCCAACAGGUCAGCCAGAAACAGCUCGCCUAAUGCGGUUGGUACUUCCUUGCAUUCUCUGUAUUGUGAAAAGGUUUCCGUGAUCAGGGGUAUUAGAUGUUGGUUUAUUUUUGUUAUUUAUAUAGAAAUAGAAUUUGCAGUACAAAUUACAGGACUGGUGCACAUUAUGGUCCCUUUUAAAAAUGGAAAAUUCUGUUAUUUUGACAACUUUGAGAAACGUUGCAAUGCCUAUUGGCUCUAAUCUUCGUUUCAUUGAUUUCCAUUCACAAGGGAAAACUGUCUUCCACACAGCUUCCAGAGCAAACUUAUAAGAGUGGAAAUGAGUGAGAUAACUUCACUCCACUGCUCAAAAUCUCCAGCGUCUUCCCAUCACUCUGGAGAUUUGGGGUUGAUGGGCUUUCCUGGGGAUUCUGAGAAGGAGGGAGAUCUGAAAAUGGGUGUCUUAAAUUUGGGGAUGCUGAGAUUUCAGGUGGUACCUUUGGGAGGAAGGUCUGUGAAGAGGUUGGAUGAGGAAUCUACUGAAGUUUGGUGAAGAUCAGUGAUUGACAGCAUCUCUGCAGCUGAAAAAUCUGAGGCCUAUAGGGGAGGGUGUUGUUAGGAGACAAAUGAAUGGGAAGACUUGUGAGAAGUUAGUAAAUUAGAGAACUAUAGGUUUUAGUGAUUGUGGGGGCCAGAGCCUCAGGUUUGGGGGAUAUUUUUAGGGAGUUAGUGUUGACAGUCUAUAGAGGUCAGUGAUUUGCUGUUUGUGGAUUGGUUGGGAUAUACAGAAUUCAGGGAUUGGAGGAAGUUGUGGGAUUCAGUGUUUGGAGGGGCCAGUGGUGGUCAGUGAAUAGAUACUUCUGGGAAUUAGUGAUUGGGGUUGCCUGUGGGUAAUGGUGAUUAGGAUCUGUGGGGUCUAUGCUUGGGAUAUUUCUUUUUUGGUGGAAGCUAUGACAAUCAGGAAUUUACAAGAGGUACUGUGAAGUUAGUGAUGUGAGUUAUUUGAGGGUCCACUGUGAUUUGCUCUUGACUGAUGGCUGUAGAAGUCAAUAAUUGGAGAAUUGCUGGAUAUUAGUUUUGUUAGCCUGUCAGGAUCAAGUUGGUGAUCAGUGGAAAUCAGUGGUGAAGGGGAGUUUAGGAUUCAGUUGAGAGGCUUCUGUGGAUGCUGUGAUUUAGGGGUGUAGGAAAGCCUGCAAUCGGUAUUUCUGUGGAGUCAGGGAUCUAUGGUUUCAAUGAUUUCAUAUGGGGGAGUGUUAACUGGAAGUAUGUGAUUUGAGAGUUUUUCAAGCAUCAAUGAAUGGUAGCCAGCAUGGCUCAGUGGUGGGGGAUCUGUGAAGGGCAGUGUUUGGAGGUUGUGUGUUUACUGACCUUUAAAGAUAAAUUAUAUAUUGUUGAGUGUGGGGUUGGCGGGGGGAAUCAUGUUUCAAAUGUUUUGUACUGUGUCAUGCUAUUUGGAAAAGAAUUCAGUAUCUCUGCAGUUGUUAUCUCUGAACGUUGAGAUCACGGGUAAUGUUUGUUUUGGGUGAAUAUAUUUUUUAAGCAUAAUUAUUACAAGUUUCUUGUGUAAUAUUUUUUGUAAAGAGAAAUUUAUUGUACUGUAAAGACAACCUCUACUGGUCAUGAUGAUUUUUCUUUUUAUGUUGGUUUACUUUGUUAAUUACACAAGGUAUACAUACAUAUAUUUUACUUAAAAAUGCAAGCAAACAGAUGUAUAUGGAGCAAUCCUAACUCCUUUCUUAAACCCCAGUUUUAUUCACCUCCACAAAUAUAACUAUCAUUAACAAUUUGGUCUAUAUGUCUCAAUAUUUUUUUAGUUCACAUAUAUGUAUAUGCACACAGUUUUGUUUAUUUUAUGUGAAUUGGACUGUAUUGUAUGUAUUGAUCUACAAUUUAUUUUUUAUAUAUAACGGUAUGUCUUAAGAGAAAUUUCUAUAUCAGAAUGUAUAGAAUUGUUCCUUGUGUAGUCUUUGAUGGUGCAGCAUUCCUUGUGUGGACAUGCAGUGAUUUUAUAGUAUUCUAUUGGGUAGAUAUACAGUCUUGAGGAAGGAGCAGACUGCCAUCUUUGGUGUUUCUCAGGCUUCAUUGGUGAUACCUCCAUGUGCAGGAGGGAUUUAGGUGAUUAGAGUCUGGAGUGGACCCCCAGCAAACUGCAGCAGCCCUAUGGGAGAGUGGCCUGACUGUUAAAGAAAAACAGAAAGCAACAACCACAUCAACAAAAAAAAACCCCACAAAAGUCCCAUUUAAAUAUCAGCAACCUCAAAGAUCAAAGGUAGAUAAGCCCACAAAGAUGAAAAGGAAUCAACAUAAUAACACUGAAAACUCAAAAAGCCAGAGUGUCUCUUCUCCUCCAAUGGCCACAACACCUCUCCAGCAAGGAUAUAGAACUGGGCUGAGGCUGAGAGGAAUGAACUGAUGGAAGUAGGCUCAAUUCAUUUUACAAAAGUUAACUACAAAAAUUAACUCAACAUGGAUUAAAUAAGACUUAAAUGUAAAAUCCAAAACCAUAAAAACCCUAGAAGGAAAUCUAGGCAAUACCAUUCAGGACAUAGGCAUGGGCAAACAUUUCAUGAUGAAAAUGCCAAAAGCAAUAGCAACAAAAGCAAAAAUUGACAAAUGGGAUCUAAUUAAACUAAAGAGCUUCUGCACAGCAAAAGAAACUAUCAACCUACAGAAUGGAAGAAAAUUUUUUCAAUCUAUCUGUCUGACAAAGUCUAAUAUCCAGAGUCUACAAGGAACUUAAACAAAUUUACAAGAAAAAGCAAACAACCCCAUUAAAAAGUGGACAAAGGACAUGAACAGACACUUCUCAAAAGAAGACAUUUAUAUGGCCAACAAACAUGAAAAAAAGCUCAACAUCACUGAUGAUUAGAGAAAUGCAAAUCAAAACUACAAUGAGAUACCAUCUCAUGCCAGCCAGAAAGACAAUUAUCAAAAAGUCAAGAAACAACAGAUGCUGGUGAGGUUGUUGAGAAAAAGGAAUGCCUUUACAUUGUUGGGAGUGUAAAUUAGUUCAACUAUUGUGAAAGAUGGUGUGCUGAUUUCUCAAAGACCUAGAACCAGAAAUACCAUUUGACCCAACAAUCCCAUUCCUGAGUAUAUACCCAAAGGAAUAUAAAUCAUUGUCUUAUAAAGAUACAUGCACACGUAUGUUCAUUGCAGCUAUUCACAAUAGCAAAGACAUGGAAUCAACCCAAAUGUCCAUCAAUGAUAGACUGGAUAAAGAAAAUGUGGUACAUAUACACCACGGAAUACUAUGCAGCCAUAAAAAGGAAAGAUCAUGUCCUUUGCAGGGACAUGGAUGGAGCUGGAAGUCAUUAUCCUCAGCAAACUAACACAGGAACAGAAAACCAAGCACCACAUUCUUUCUGAUGACUAUCAGAGUAGUGGUCGUAGCUUUACUUAUACUUUCUAUUUUUCAUGCAAGUCCCUUUUUUGAAUAACUCAAACCUGGAACCAUACAGAAAGUAAUUCUGAGAAGUAUAGUUCCAAGCUUAACCAAGUUAGCAGAACAUAAACUACCUAUGUGGUCAAGAGGAUCACUCUUGGCAGACUUAAGCUGAGACCCAAAGUAUGACAAUUUAUUAACCAUGUGAAGCCUGUGGGAAGGGCUUUAAGACAAAGAACAGUGAGUGCAAAGGCUUGGCUUAUGUGACAGAAAACAGACCAGGGUGCCUGGGUCAUAAGGAGAAAGGGAAAAUGGUAUGAAAUAAAUUAAGCUAUAUAGGGAGAGUAACUAGAUUAUGAGGGGCCUUAUAAAGUAAGGAGUUUGUGGCUGGGCGCGGUGGCUCACACCUGUAAUCCCAGCACUCUGGGAGGCCGAGGCGGGUGGAUCACGAAGUCAGGAGAUCGAGACCAUCCUGGCUAACACGGUGAAACCCCAUCUCUACUAAAAAUACAAAAAAGUAGCCUCGUGUGGUGGUGGGUGCCUGUAGUCCCAGCUACUCAGGAGACUGAGACAGGAGAAUGGCGUGAACCCAGAAGGCGGAGCUUGCAGUGAGCCGAGAUUGCGCCACUGCACUCCAGCCUGAGCAACAGAGCAAGACUCCACCUCAAAAAUAUAAAUAAAUAAAAUAAAGUAAGGAGUUUGAAUUUUAUUUAAAGUGCAAGUCACUGAAGGGUUUUAAGCAAAGAAGUAACUAUCAGAUUUGAGUUUUUAGAUCACAGUGUAUACUAUAAGCAAGAAUGGAUUGUGAUGGGACAAGGGAGGAAGAACUAGCAAACAUCUUUGAUAUAAAUUUUUGUAUGUGUAUGUAUUUCUGUAAUCCAGAUUUCUAGAAGGUGAAUUUUCUUGUCAAAAGGUAAGCACAUUUUACCUUUAAAUAUGUAUCCAAACUGCUUAAGUAGUACCUCCUUGAAGAGCCUUCCAUGACCCUGCCAUCCAGGUUUGCAUAUCUGUUCUUUACUUUGUGGCACUCUAUUUAUUUUCUUCCUAGAACUGAUAAUAAUGUGUAAGAUUUUGUUUUUACUUAUUUUUAUAUUGUCUGUCUUUUUGGUGAAGGCAUGACCUUGUCUUAUUUCCCAUUAUACUCAUGACAUAGUUGGCACUAAAUGAAGAUCUGGGCCAGGUGUGGUGGCUCACAUCUGUAAUCUCAGCACUUUGGAAGGUUGGGUAGGGAAGACUGCUUGAGGCUAGGAGUUGGAGACCAGCCUGGGCAACAUAGUGAGACCCUACCUCUAUGAAAAACUUUAAAAUUAGCCCUGUGUUGUGAUGGGCACCGGUAGUCUCAGCUAUUCAGGAGGCUGAAGUGGGAGGACCACUUGAGCCCAGAAGAUUCAGUGAGUUCCCUCCACUCCAUGAUGGCACCACUGCACUCAAACCUGGGUAACAGAGUGAGACCCUGUCUCAAAAAAAAGAGAUGUUGAAGAAAUAAUUUCUGGUAUAGUUUGUAUAUUUGUCCCCACCAAAAUCUCAUGUUCAAUUGUAAUCCUCAAUGUUGGAGGUGAGGUUUGGUGGGAGGUGAUUGGAUCAUGAGGACAGAUCCCUCAUGAAUGGCUUGGGCCAUCCCCUUGGUGAGAAGUGAGCUCUCACUCUGAGUUCACACCAGAUUUGGUGAUUUAAUGUGUGUGGCACCUCCCCCUCACUCUCGCGCUCUCUCUCUUUCUUGCUCCUGUUUUUGCCAUAUGAUGUGCCUGUUCUUGCUUCUUCUUCUGCCAUGCAUAAAAGCUCCCUGAGGCUUCCCCAGAAGCUGAUGCCAGCACUGUUUUCCUAUACAGCCUGUAGAACCACAAGCCAAUUAAACCUCUUUAUUUAUAAAUUACCCAGUCUCAGGUAUUUCUUCAUAGCAAUGCAAGAAUGGUCUAAUACAAUUUCCCCACUAAAAAGUCUGCACAAACUUAUACCUUCAGCAAUAGCAUAUAAGUCUGGUUUGCAAAUUCCCAAACCAAAAAGAAUAUUACUGUCUUUUAGGAAGGGGGAAAGUUUAAAUGAUAUUUUAUUAUUUAUAUUUUUAAAUUAGAACUAUUAUAUAUCUCUACACACUAACCAGAAUGACAAAAACACACAAAAACCUCACAACAUGAAAUAUUAGAAGAAUGUGGAGCAACCAGAAUUGUCAUACAUUGUUGAUAGAAUGUAAAAUGAUACAACCACUGAUUUAUAUAUUAGUGAAUGAAAAAGCCAAAAGCAAGGCACAUCACACUUAAAUUUAGAAGACUCAAGAAAAAGAACCAGCUGGGCGUGGUGGCUCAUGCCUGUAAUCUCAGCUCUGUGGGAGGCUGAGGCAGGAGGAACACCUGAGGUCAGGAGUUCGAGACCAGCCUGGCCAACAUGGAGAACUUCGUCUCCACUGAAAAUAUAAAAAUUACCUGGGUGUAAUGGUGUGUGCCUGUAAUCCCAGCUACUCAGGAGGCUGCUACAGGAUAAUCAUUUGAACCCAGGAGAGGGAGGUUGCAGCGAGCUGAGAUUGCACCACUGCACUCCAGCCUUGGCAACAGACCAAAAUUCCCUCUGAAACAAACAAACAAAAAAGGAAAGAAAAACAGGUCACGUGCUAAAUCAGAAUGACAUUUUUAACAGGAACACUGGAAGCUAGAAAAUUAUAGAGAAAUGCCUUCAAAUUCCUGAGGAAAAAUGAUUUUUAACCCAGAGUUCUUUUUCAUUUUGUUUUUCUUUUUUUAUACCCUGCCAAUAUCUGUAUUUAACCUAGAGUUCUAUAUCCAGCCAAACUAUCAAUCACGUGUAAGAGUAGAACGGUUUUACAUAUGAGAAGCUGAAAAUUUUACUUCCAUGUAUUCUUUCUUGGGAAGUUGCUGGAGGAAGAAAUUCAUGAAAUGAGGGAAGAAACUAAGAAAGAUCUGGGAUCCAGGAAAUAGGAGAUUAAUACACAAGAAGUAAAGGGAACUCCUAGGAUAACAUGAAAGGAAAGUCCUGGGGCCGGGCAAGGUGGCUUAUGUCUGUAAUCCCAGCACUUUGGGAGGCCAAG